AACGCACCUUGCGCUCCCUGGUAUUCCUAGGAGCAUGCCUGUUUGAGUGUCAUUAAAUUCUCAACUUCAUCAGUUUUGUUAUGAGACUGUGAAGCUUGGAUGUGGGGGCUUGUGCAGAAUGCUUGAUUGUAGGCUGCUCCCCUUAAAUAAAUUAGCGAGUUCAAACUGAGCUCCGUCUAUUGGUGUGAUAAUUAUCUACGCCGUGGAUGGGACUUAGACUUGCUUCUAACUGUCCGCAAGGACAAUCUUUUGACAAUUUGACCUCAAAUCAGGUAGGACUACCCGCUGAACUUAA
rnacentral:misc_RNA from 1 species